rnacentral:rRNA from 1 species
GACGAACGCUGGCGGCAUGCCUAAUACAUGCAAGUCGAGCGAACAGAUGAAGUGCUUGCACUUCUGACGUUAGCGGCGAACGGGUGAGUAACACGUAAGGAAUCUACCUAUAAGCGGGGGAUAACAUUCGGAAACGGGUGCUAAUACCGCAUAAUAUCUUCUUCCGCAUGGAAGAAGAUUGAAAGACGGCUCUGCUGUCACUUAUAGAUGACCUUGCGGUGCAUUAGUUAGUUGGUGGGGUAAUGGCCUACCAAGACGAUGAUGCAUAGCCGACCUGGGAGGGUGAGCGGGCACAUUGGGACGGAGACACGGCCCAAACUCCUACGGGAGGCAGCAGUAGGGAAUCUUCCGCAAUGGGCGAAAGCCUGACGGAGCAAUGCCGCGUGAGUGAAGAAGGCCUUCGGGUCGUAAAACUCUGUUAUAAGAGAAGAACAAAUUGUAGAGUAACUGCUACAGUCUUGACGGUAUCUUAUCAGAAAGCCACGGCUAACUACGUGCCAGCCGCCGCAGUAA